rnacentral:rRNA from 1 species
GACGAACGCUGGCGGCGUGCCUAAUACAUGCAAGUAGAACGCUGAAGGAGGAGCUUGCUUCUCUGGAUGAGUUGCGAACGGGUGAGUAACGCGUAGGUAACCUGCCUGGUAGCGGGGGAUAACUAUUGGAAACGAUAGCUAAUACCGCAUAAGAGUAGAUGUUGCAUGACAUUUUCUUAAAAGGUGCAAUUGCAUCACUACCAGAUGGACCUGCGUUGUAUUAGCUAGUUGGUGGGGUAACGGCUCACCAAGGCGACGAUACAUAGCCGACCUGGGAGGGUGAUCGGCCCAACUGGGACUGAGACACGGCCCAGACUCCUACGGGAGGCAGCCGUAGGGAAUCUUUGGAAAUGGACGGAAGUCUGACCGAGCAAAGCCGCGGGAGUGAAGAAGGGUUUCGGGACGUAAAGCUCUGUUGUAAGAGAAGAACGAGUGUGAGAGUGGAAAGUUCACACUGUGACGGUAUCUUACCAGAAAGGGACGGCUAACUACGUG